GGAAGAUACGAAUGUUGAAGACAAAUUGACCUUUGAGAAUUUCAAGGAGACAGUUACGUGUGGAGUUUCUGGACAAGACACAUUUUCUAAGACGUAACAGGGUCUUCCUUCCUGGUCCGAGUUGAAGCUCACAGUCUAGGGCUGAUGAAGAUGCCCCAAAGCACAGUCACCAUUCACCACGUACCACUCGCUUUUCCGGGAGGCACUUUGCCACAACCCAGCCAUUCCUGAUGGUCUUCAUGGAGCAUGGAAGCACGCUGUAGCUGAGAAGUGUGUGGCCUUCAGCCUAGCUCCAGCCCGCACCUUGAUGCCCUGUGGAUUUCCGUGGCUUGGAAGACAUCUUGUCUGCAAAGUGAAGAAAAAGCCACGAUGGUGUCCGACUACUUUUGAAUUAGUGGCAAGGAGAGGAACGAUCUUUCUCAUUCUUACUGUUCCUCUGUGAAGUAAGAUACAAGAUCACUUGUUGAAGAGGGAAAGUUGAAGACCACGUGAAAUGCAAGAUCCUGGAGAAAUUGUAAAAAGAGAUUUGGAUAACCGGAGGGUUAAAUUGCCUGUGGAGCUUUUCCUUUAGUGUUGAAGGCUUGUUUGGAGUUAGACAAGGCCUCAAAUUCUUGGUGCUUCCCAUGUAACUGGUUAGGUGGGAGUCACCCAGGAUGGAUAGACAGAUGGCUGGGGAAUAAUCCAGAGCAGUGGUUACAGAAGGACAGAGAGGGGAAGUUGAGGUUUUAGAACAUAUAUUAUUGAAAUGAUGGGCCAUGGCAUUUUAUAUGUAGCAUCAAGGAAUUGGGGAUUAUAAAUAGGAUAAUCAGAGGAUGGACAGCUUGGAUGCCUCUCUGAGGUAGAGAGCAGGUACAGUACAGAUUAAAAAGUGAACAGGGGUAGAAGUAUAGUUUCUAUGUUCAGAGAGUUCAGGGACGCCUGACUUUUUGCUCUGGAGAGCGUAAGAGUCUUAGUGAUGAUAAAUUCAAGGUAUGUAACUGAGAUGUGAAAGCCAUGGGUGUUUGCAGGUUUAUACCCACCCAGGAACAUAGAAUCAUCUUUAAUCAAGGCAGAGUUGAGCGGGAGUCAGGUACCUACCGAUGGCUUUAUUGAGUCAGGUCUAUGUGUUGAUACCAUUGCAGAUGAGAAGCUAGUAUAGUGCCUCAACAGAGAUGGGAUUUUUAAUAAAUGAUGGGUAAUGUGGUUUGAUACUACGGUAGAUUUACCUUAAGGAUGAGGAAGAUCAAGAACUCCUACCGUAUUGCUUUGAGGUUGUCCAAGGCAAGAAAAACAAAGUCCCCGGAUCAAAUUGCAAGUUUGCGUGCUCUCUUGUUAAUGUUUUUUUAAUUUUAGAGCCCUGACUUCACUAGACCAUAGAUGCAAGAAAAAGAGCAUCCUGGGCAUGUUUAUUUAAAGCCUUGCAAAAUGGCAGCCACACCUCUGUCUUCUGUAUUUGGU
rnacentral:lncRNA from 1 species